UGUGUGACAGGUGGCAGGUAGCGUGUGGCACAGGCACAAAUAGAGGAUCACACUCACCACUGGCUUGUGACCCUUGAAGGCUUUUCCAAACAGUGAAUUGCAGCUCUUGGGCCAAAAAGGACUUCACUACCCCAGGGUAAGCAAUACUUAGCUAAAUAGACCAAUUAUAUGACUCAGUAUAAGGCAGCUUCUGAUGCAAACAUGUCCAUCAUUCUAUUCAUCCUACUACUUGUUUGUUGUUGUUGUUUUAAAUGAGCCAAAUUGGAAAUACUUGUAGUUUUGGAAGCAACUCACAUUUAUCUUGAUUGCUGAAUUACACGUUUUGCUCUCAGUCCAUGCUGCAUUAGCUGUGUUAGAUACCAGCUCAACAACCAGCUUGUGAUAAAUACUGUGUUUACUCGAAUCUAACGUUAGUGCACCUUUUCUGGCCGAAUGACUUUGUGAAAAUCAAGGUGCACAUUAGAUUUGAUGGCACAUUGGACUGAAGAAAAUAUGGUAGAUACCUAUAGCCAAGUAGGUGUCUUAAAGAGGAUUAGACAAAUAUAUGGCGGAAAAACCCAACUGGUGGCUACUAAAAACUGCUUCGAGGUUUUCUGCUGUAGUCAAGUGGUGUGUGUGUGUGUUAGAGAGAAAUAAAUAAAAGAUAUAAAUACUAGUCAGGAAGGCUAGAUAGAGCCACAGCUUUAUCAGCCCCGGCUAGAAUGGCAAGUCUUCAGAGUCGAGAAACAGCUGAAGGCCACCACAUCGAUUACCCCUUGUGUAGUGGCUCAGAGACUGCACUUUGAACCUGUUCAGCUCUCGCCUGAGCCAUGAACUCACAAAGUGGGCUUAGACAAGCCACUGCCUCAGAGCCUUCACCCCCUCCAACCGUCGUUCCUCUGUAGUAGUGUGUGUGGGGGGGAGCACUGGCCUCCCUCACAGGUUACCUGUGGAGAUUACCGAGAUAGUGUAUAUAACACAUUUGAAACGUUCUAAGCGCAGUGUCCUUAUUGGUCUGUUUCUCUAUAUUUGAUCUACAUAUGAUACAACAUCAGGCCUGAGGGAUCAUCCUGUGGUAAGAGAUUGCUUCUAAGGUCAUGAUGAGGCUAUAAAUAGAAAGCUCUUACCUCACGAUUCUUUGUCAUCAUCCAAUUUCCCUGAAAGGCCUGCACUUACCUUAUGGGAUCUUCAUUGAUUUAUUGCUCAGUACUUUUGGUAUCACUUUUCAAAAUAUACUUUAAAAAUUAUUAUAUGUGUAUUUGCAAGACUGACCUUUUUUUUUUUUUUUAGUUUGUCAACCCUCCCCCAACCCUGAGUAAUAAAAAUAUGUGGCUUCUUCUUUUUUCUUUUGCAAUAAUCAGGACUUGAGAGUGGGCCACGUUACGUGCUGAGCUCAGGUUACAUGCUGAACGUCAGCCUAAAAAUAGUAUCUUUUUAAUGCAGUCUGCAGGGUUUGGCUGCAUGACUUCCUUUAAUAGUAAGAUGUAUUAUUUAUUUAUAUAUAAAAAUCGCAUUCUGCAAUUUCAUUUAAAAGAAACCAAAGUGGUUUACAACAAUCACACAACACAAAUUCAAACUGAUCACCAGCUAACUAUUACGGAAAAAAGUUUGUUUCAUAAUUGUCUGUGUUUGCCUGGCAGCAAAGAAAAGUUUUCAGCAAACGUUUGAAAGUUACUACAGAAGGCACCUGCUGAAUCUCGCUUGCAUUCCUUAGGAAUGGGCCAAUAAAGGCUGAGUUUCACUGUGAUGUUAAAUCAGCCUCACUACCCCAGGGGAUAACCACUGAUG